rnacentral:rRNA from 1 species
AGUGAACGCUGGCGGUAUGCCUAACACAUGCAAGUCGAACGGCAGCACAGUAAGAGCUUGCUCUUACGGGUGGCGAGUGGCGGACGGGUGAGGAAUACAUCGGAAUCUACUUUUUCGUGGGGGAUAACGUAGGGAAACUUACGCUAAUACCGCAUACGACCUACGGGUGAAAGCAGGGGAUCUUCGGACCUUGCGCGAUUGAAUGAGCCGAUGUCGGAUUAGCUAGUUGGCGGGGUAAAGGCCCACCAAGGCGACGAUCCGUAGCUGGUCUGAGAGGAUGAUCAGCCACACUGGAACUGAGAAACGGUACAGACUCCUACGGGAGGAAGCAGUGGGGAAUAUUGGACAAUGGGCGCAAGCCUGAUCCAGCCAUACCGCGUGGGUGAAGAAGGACUUCGGGUUGUAAAGCCCUUUUGUUGGGAAAGAAAAGCAGCAGGUUAAUACCCCGCUGUUCUGACGGUACCCAAAGAAUAAGCACCGGCUAACUUCGUG